rnacentral:rRNA from 1 species
GAUGAACGCUGGCGGCGUGCUUAACACAUGCAAGUCGAGCGAGCAGAUUUGAACUGGUUCUUCGGAUGAAAUUUAAAGUGGAAAGCGGCGGACGGGUGAGUACCGCCUAGGCAACCUGCCCCAUACAAGGGGAUAGCAUUUGGAAACGAAUAUUAAUACCUUAUGAAACUUAGCUAGUGCAUGCUAGGUAGGUCAAAGAUUUAUCGGUAUGGGCUGGGCCUGCGUCUGAUUAGCUAGUUGGUGAGGUAACGGCUCACCAAGGCGACGAUCAGUAGCAGACCUAAGGGGACGAGGGGCAGAAUAGGAAGGGAGGCACGGUCCGGACAUCUUCGGGAGGGAGCAGAAGGGAAAAGUGGAAAAGGGGGGAAACUCUGAUGCAGCAACGGCGCGUGAACGAGGAAGGCCUGUGAGGCGUAAAGUUCGGUGCUAGGGGAGGAAAACUGACAGUAACCGAGGAGAAAGCCCCGGCUAACUCCGUG